AACCAGCUCUUCAAGUGUUCAGGACUAUUAUUGAGCUUAAAGCACUCGUAGCGGGUCUCGCAAGUCCCUGGUUAAAUCCAGGAGCUUAACUUCUGGGCUGCUAGGGAUACUACGGGACUUGGGAGCGGAAGAGGUGUCCGGUACUUAUGGGGUAGCGGUGAAAUGCGAUAAUCCCAUGAGGACCACCGGUGGCGAAGGCGGGACACUAGGACGCGUCCGACCGUGAUGGGUGAAAGCCUGGGGAGCGAACCGGAUUAGAUACCCGGGUAGUCCAGGCCGUAAACGAUGCCCGUUAGGUGUGGCAUUUGCCACGAGCAAAUGCCGUGCCGAAGCGAAAGCGUUAAACGGGCCGCUUGGGAAGUACGGUCGCAAGGCUGAAACUUAAAGGAAUUGACGGGGGAAUACCGACAAGGGGUGAAGCCUGCGGUUU
rnacentral:rRNA from 1 species